AUUGAACGCUGGCGGCAGGCCUAACACAUGCAAGUCGAGCGGAGCGGCGGACGGGUGAGUAAUGCCUAGGAAUCUGCCUGGUAGUGGGGGAUAACGUCCGGAAACGGGCGCUAAUACCGCAUACUAUCAGAUGAGCCUGGGUCGGAUUAGUUAGUUGGGGGGGUAAAGGCCUACCGAGGCGAAUAUCCGUAACUUGUCUGCAAGGAUGAUCAGUCAGACUGGAACUGUGCCACGGUCCAGACUCCUACGGGAGGCAGCGGUGGGGAAUAUUGGACAAUGGGCGAAAGCUUGAUCCAGCCAUGCCGCGUGUGGGAAGACGGUCUUCGGAUUGUAAAGCACUUUAAGUUGGGAGGCGUUACCAACAGAAUAAGCACCGGCUAACUUCGUGCCAGCCGCCGCGGUAAUAC
rnacentral:rRNA from 1 species